rnacentral:lncRNA from 1 species
GCCGUCUCAAAAAAAAAACAAAAACAAAAACAAAACAAAACAAACGCAAAAAAAUUUAGCCGGGCGUGGUCGCGGGCUCCUGUAGUCCCAGCUACUCAGGAGGCUGAGGCAGGAGAAUGGUGUGAACCCAGGAGGCGGAGCUUGCAGUGAGCCGAGACCGUGCCACUGCAUUCCAGCCUGGGCGACAGAGCGAGACUCCGCCUCAGAAGUAAAUAUAUACAUAAACGAAUGAAUAAAUCUUACUUCAUUCAAACUUUGUCACAUUUUUUCUUAUUUGUGUUUUUCUAAAAGUUCACAUAUUCUCUAAAUAUCUCUUUCAUUUAUUUUUAAAGAGUAAUCUGCAAAGCAUUAUUAUCCUUCAUAUUACUUUAAUUUGCACCAGCUUUAAAGUGAACAAUCAGGUAGGUACUUUACGUAUUGACUGUUUAAAAUAUAAAUGAAUAUCUGCAUUAAAUAUGAUUUAGUGGAAUAUUGAUAUUGACUUAUUUUAUUAUAUUGACCUUUCUGCUAUUUUUAAACAACUUUCUUGAAGUAUUGGUUGAUAUUCUAGAAGAAAUUCCAUCUCUUUUAGUUAGCUUGCAAUAUUUAGUUUUGAAUUUCAGAAAGCUACGCAAAGAAUCCAUAAUACGGAAAAUAUUGCUUCCUUCUUUACAUGUGUUUAUAUAGUUAUCAGAAAGUUUGAAGUAAUCAUUCUUGUUGUGAUGCAUGAGUAAUUACUCAGAGUAGGACUUGAAAUAAUUUAUCAGUCUCUAUUAUUUCUGUUCAUUUGGUUCUUGCCAUUCCUGUGACAUUGUUUUCACAUAUUCUAGGCCCACCAUAAUUAUCUCACUUCAGACCUUGAUAUUAAUUAUCCUUAGAUAUCUCUAUAUUGUGGGGCAUGUGACACUAUCAGGAAUAUUUUUGCUAUACGCUUGAUAGACUUAUUGUUGCUGUUUGGCCCCAAAAUUCCUUCCUCAGCAGGGGAGUUCAGUAAUGCCCCAGAGUCAGGACGCUUUCUGCCCCGAAUCUCUUCUUUCCUUUACAGCAGAAACUUAAAUGCUUCCUGUCAUAGCUGGAAGUUCGUGUAGCCUAGUGCCACAUAUGUGAGGGUGGAAUCUUGGUGCAUUUAGGGAAACUGUUGGUAAACAAUUAAGAAUUCCAAAGAGAAACCUCCUAUGACUCAUUUUCUAUGUAAAGGCAAUUAUUUUGUCAUCCUCUUCUAUGGAAAUGUACCUUGAAACUGUAACGCCUGUGAUCCAUGUUGUCACAUCCCCAGGUAGGAAACCAACCCAAAGAGACACAAAUGAACAGAAAUUUACUGAGGAAGCUCUAAGGGCCUCUGAAGUGUAGGUCAUGCAGAGGUUUUUUUUUUUAAACCCAGAAUUACAUCGUCUAUCCAUAUUGUUAUGAGUCACAUCUUACCAGUCCUACACUCCAGGCCACAUGUGGCACAUAUAGCUACAUACCACCAUCUUGGUCAACCUGAGGGAUUUCUGUUAGAACCCAUUGGUGAAUGAAGGGGAUUUUCAUUAUUGAUUGUGGUGCUAGUUUAAGAGAUGUGCUGAUAUUGAGAAUACUCACUGGGUUGUGAUGUGUUUGCUUUACUGAACGCAUGUGUAUCAUGCAAGCCUGCCACUUCUCUCCAUAUUUGUUCUUCACUUUAGCCCAGUGGUCACUUCUGCAUCCUCAGGUCACUUAACCUUCAUGAGUUUUCUAUGAAAUCUUCCAAUUUACUAAUUUAAACCUUCCCAACCAUCCUUACUGUUACCUGAGUUCUAGAUUCAUUUUUCCAAUUUUUUUCCCUGACCUUCCAAUUUGCCUCUGUGAUAGAUAUUUAAAUGUGCUCCAAAAUGAGCAGUUUUCUCAGCUUUUAUCACCAAGUCUAACAGUCACUUUCAUCUCUAUGAAUAACACUAUCAUCUUGCUAUUUGCUUUCAUUUUCCAAAGAAUGUAGCAAUUUUUAUCCUUAAUUUACCACUUUUCCUGACCAUUUAACCCAUGUUCCAGCAAGUUCUAUGCUAAAAAUUAACUUGAAAUAAUUCAUAGACAUAAAUGUAAAACCAAAAACCAUACAACUUCUUUUUUUUUUUUUUGAGACUGAGUCUUGCUCUGUCGCCCAGGCUGGAGUGCAGUGGCGCGAUCUCGGCUCACUGCAGGCUCCGCCUCCUGGGUUCACACCAUUCUCCUGCCUCAGCCUCCUGAGUAGCUGGGACUGCAGGCGCCCGCCACCACCCCCGGCUAAAUUUUUUGUAUUUUUAGUAGAGACGGGGUUUCACCAUGUUAGUCAGGAUGGUCUUGAUCUCCUAACCUCGUGAUCCGCCCGCCUCGGCCUCCCAAAGUGCUGGGAUUAUAGGCGUGAGCCACUGCGCCCGGCCAAACCAUACAACUUCUAGGAGAUAAUGGAGGAAAAUCUUUGUGAUCAUAGUGAAGCAAAUAUUUCUUACAUAAAAACACCAAACAAGACUGUAACAGGAAAAUUAAGAAAUUAGAUUUUCUCAUAAUUAAAUGCAAUGCUCUUCAAAAUAUCUUGUUAACAUUAAAAAGAGGAGCUACAAAUGAUUAGCAUAAAAUAUCUACAAAUAACACAGCUAGUAAUGAAUUUGUAUGCAAGAUAUAUAUCUAAUUUCUUAGAUAAUAGGCCGUGUCCAGCCUAAAAUUUUUUAACCAAAUACUAAUCAUUUUUAUUUAUCUUGUAACAUAAACCAUUAAGUUAUAUGAAUAAGCAAAAUCUCAGUUAUGGUUAGAAAUCUCUCACUCCGCCAGGUGCGGUGGCUCAUGUCUGUAAUCCCAACACUUUGGGGGGCCGAGGUGGGUGGAUCACCUGAGGUCAGGAGUUCAAGACCAGCCUGGCCAACAUAGUGAAAGCCUGUCUCUACUGAAAAUACAAAAAAUUAGCCUGUCAUGGUGGCAGGAGCCUAUAAUCCCGGCUACUUGGGAGGCUGAGACAGGAGAAUUGCCUGAACCGGUGAGGUGGAGGUUGCAGUGAGCCGAGAUAGGGCCAUUGCGCUCCAACCUGGGCAACAAGAGCAAAACUCCUUCUCAAAAAAAAAAAAAAAAAAAAAGAAAUCUCUUGCUCCAUUAAAAUGUUUUGUGGUACUGUAAGAAAGUGCAAAAUCAUUUUUACCAUAUCUAUCGUUGUGAAAAUAUAAUUCUGACGAAAUAUGAUUUUAAAACAUGUAAAUAUGGUACUCAUGAAUUUUUUUCAGUGUUGGAGUCUCCUCCUGACUGGGUUGUUUACAUUCUCUCUACUGUUUUUUCUAUAUAAAUGCAAAUAAAUAGAAGAAAAUUUUUUUUUUUUUGAGACGGA